rnacentral:lncRNA from 1 species
UAUUAGUGACUUUCCUGGGUAUGCUAUGUUGAGUGGAUGGAGUACGAAAGGAUAUAUGGCUUGCCCUUACUGUAAUUAUAACACUAACUCUAUCUAUUUGAGCCAUAGUCGAAAGGUGUGUUAUAUGGAUCAUCGUGUUUUCUUAUCUAUGAAUCAUAAAUAUAGAUCAAAUUCAAGGGAUUUGAAGGAUCUUGAUAUCUUAGAAUCAGAGAUUGCAGAAACUCUUUGCCAACUAGAGACAAUUUUUCCUCCGAGUUUCUUUGAUAUAAUGGUUCAUUUUCCUAUACAUCUUGUGAUGCAAGAAGGAAAACACGAAAUAGUGGCGUUACAUUGGUGUCGAUGACCCAAAGCUUUGCAAGCACGAAAGAUGAAAAUCCGAUAACAAAACCAUUAACUUAUUAUGGAUCGAUUAUAGAUAUAAUUGAGGUAGAUUGUUGUGGAAAGUUGGUGUUAUUUAGAUGUGAUUGGUAUGAAGUUGAAGACAAAAAAAAAGUAUGGGACGACUUGUGUCCAAUUUAAUAAAAGAUGUUAUAAAGAUGAUCCUUUUGUGUUGGCCUCUCAAGUCCACCAAUGCUUCUACGUUCAAGAUCCCUACAAUGAAAAUAGGAAUUAUGUUAUGAGUAUUGUUCCUAGAGACUUCUUUAAUAUGAAAAAAGGGUCAAAUUCAAAUGCCCAAGAACCUUAUCAAAGUCAACCAUUAGAUCAUGUUAUAAAUUUAACCAUAGCUGAUGAAAAUGGUGAAGUUGAAUUGUCCAGAGAUAAUAUGCCUAAAAGCUAAUUAAAUCAAAAUUCAAAAAGCUAAUUAUACUCUUGAUACUGACUUGAACUAAAUAUUUAUUUGUUUCAUGUGUCUAAAAGCCAAACUAGUGGACAGCUCUAUGAUGAAUGGAUUAAGCAACAAAGUUUCUGCUCAAAUCAAAAAGGGCCUUGUUAAUCACAGACCACCCAAGAAGCAAAAGAAUACUCUGAAGCGUAAGUAGUACAUCAAAUGCAAUUUAUGGGUAUGUUUGGUUUGCAAAACAGCAAGUACUGGACAGAACAGUACAAGAUAAAAGAGUACAACACAAGGCAGAACAGCACAGGACAAAUUUUUUAUGACAUUGAGUAAUUUUUUGUUUUAUACGAUUUUUGAGGGACAAAAUGCUAUUUUGGUAUUUUAGACAACUUGUACGUGGGACAAAAAGUUGUGAUGUGGUUUGGUGAGGGACAAAAAUAUGAGUUUUUGUUGUGUCCCUUGCCUCCAGUUUGUCCUGUACCUGAAACAGUUUUACAAAUCAAACACUGGACAACUAGAGUUGUUCUGUCAUGAUGUAGUUUUUUUUACCUGUCUUUUAUUUGGAUGAUGUGAGUACUUUAUUAACUAGUGGACGGCUCUAUGAUGAAUGGAUUAAGGAACAAAGUUUCUGCUCAACACAAAACAGACCUUGUUAAUCACAGACCAUCCAAGAAGCAUAAGAUUACUCCAAAGUGUAAGUGCUACAUCAAAUGCACAUGCUAUGGAAACUAACAAAACAUGUGACCAUUGUUUUCCUUAAUUUCUCACAUUUAGUUUUGUCGAAUUCUAUGUAAAGUGACAAUGUCAUGAUGCAGUUUUUUGUUUUUACUUGUAUUGUACUUGACUGAUGUG